rnacentral:lncRNA from 1 species
GUGCUCAGCAUGACUCAUGCCUCUAGUGCCUGGAGACUGUUGCUAUGUUGCUAUGCCAUAUUGAAGUGGCCCUCUGUCUCCAUCUUGCUGGUGUUAUGUUUAGCUGAGAUUGACUUGGUUGUAAUAAGCUGUGGUGCUGAGGAGGAAACCCAGAACUUGUUCUAUACAAGUAUCCACCAUCACUGCUACACUGAGAUCUAUGAACCCAACAAUCCAACAAUGAACUACAGAGAAAGAAAUACGUAUGAACCUUAUUCUCUCUCUCUCCCCCUUCCUCCCCUCCCUUUCUCUCCCUCCCUUCCCCCUUCUUUCCUCCCCUGCUCUAUGUACGCGCCUCCCCUGCUCUAUGUACAUGCUUGACUGUGGUGUCUCAGGACUCUGUCCACCUUAUUUUUUGACACAAGCUUUACAACAUAUCAGGUAGGUUGAGCUGGGUUGUCUUAGGCUCCAGGGUUCUUCACAUCUCUGCUUUCUGGCACAAGGGUUAUAAGCAUGUGCUAUAAUGAUCAAGGUAAGUAGAAGUGGUUGAAUUCAGGUCUUCAGGUUCACAAGGGAGUCACUUUAUCUGUGAGUCAUUUCUCCAGCCCCUUAAUAUGUUUAUGAGUAGCUUAUUAUUGAAGGUUGAUCUUAUUAACAUGCCAAGUCAUUUUUAUUUUUUUUACCUUUACUUUGUAAAUCUGGAAGCAAUGACAAAGGCUCUAAUUUUGUUCAGUCACUUUUUUUGUUGUUCAGUCAUUUUUUAAUUGCUUAUAUAAAAAGUUACUUAGCAAUUUUCUCAGACUGGAGACAUCACUUUGUUUUUUAUUAACACCAUUUCUCUACAACUGUGUCAUAAAAGAUUGUUUAACAAAAAGUUGGAAUUUGUCAUUCACACACACACAAAUAUGAAAAUAAAUGAUCUGCAUGCAUAUACACAUAUUUUUGUAUACACAUGUGCAUAUCUAUAUGUGCAAAUAUAUACAUUAAUACACACACAUAUAUAUAUAUAUAUACACACACAUAUAUAUAUGUGUGUGUGUGUGUGUGUGUGUGUGUGUAAAUAAUUCAGUUAUUGUGAACCUAUGCAGAUGUAGGCAUUUGUGCUAUGGUUAACCUGUAGAGGUCAGAGGACAGUUUGCAAUGGGGUCAAUUCUUCCUAUCAUCAUGUGGAUUCUGGGAAUUGAAGUCCAGUCUUGAAAUUCAUAGCCAAAGCCUUUACUAAUGGAGUCAUCUUUCUAUCACCUGAUUUUUUUUUGUUGUUCUUUUCAUUGAGGAUACAUGGUAUUCAGCUACAUCUAUUUAUUUGAAUUUUGAAAUUUUUGUUAUUACAAGGUUGACAGGAGUACUUGCUGCAGUGGAGAAAUAAGAGCUAUAUUUUAGCCUUGAGCUGCAUUAGAGCUUUAUGUAUGUGCCAUCCUGGAGUAUAAUUACUUGCUUUAUGUUUCAAAGUCGUAUUGUGAAGGAGUAAUAAACUGCUGAGGAAGAAAUGUUGGUUUUUCCUUUAAUAAUAUAUUUUUUUAAAAAUAUGUUUUUAUCUAUUAAUAUCUUUCAAACCUCAUCAAAUAUUCUUUUAUAUGAAAAUAAUGCUAAAAAAUCAUGGUAUCAGUACUGAUUUUUAGAGUCUAACAUGUAUUCAGAGGCAGGAGGACCUUCCUGUUAUUGAUAUUCAAUUUCCCACUUGGGGCUGGCUAGAAACAUUUCCUGUACAAAUCUCAUUUGUAGGACAAUAACGAAAACCGUCAUUAUUAUGAGACUAAGAAAUGAUGUAUAAGCUGACUAGCAUGGUGGAAAUCACAAAUGUUUAUAAUAUGUUAAAAAUUACAAUGAUGCAUGUUGUUAAGGAUUUUAAAUCAUGCUUGAAAUCUAUCUCAAUAAAGCCAUUUGCAGUUUCUUCUCUCUGUAAUAUUCAAAUGUACAAUAGCAAAAUUUUGAAAGUGCCAUAGAAAGGGCUACUUCUCUGGAAGGCAAAAGAAUCAGAUCUGCAUUCAAUUCCUGGAAUUCCCGCCCCCACCCCAUCCAACCUGCUAUAAUUAAAAAAAAAAAGAAAAGCCAAUGGAAUGGGGAUGUAGACAAUCUAGCGUAAUUGCUGAGCUUCAGGCCAAUGAAAGACUCACUCUCAAGAGAGGCAAUGGCAUUUUUUAAGAUGACACGUGAGGUUAUGAUGUAUUCAUAUCAGACAGCUCAUAUCAGUCCAUCAACUAGACACCAUACAUAGGCUGGUCCAAGGCCCCGGCACAUAUAUAGCUGAGGACUCCCUGGUCUGACCUCAGUGAGAGAAGAUGCAUCUAAUCCUGGAAGGACUUGAGGACUUGAGGAAAGAUGAUGUCUCUUGUGGGAGCACCUUCUCUGAGGCAAGGGGGAAAGGAAUGGAAUGGAGAACUUUGCAGGUAGGACUGGGAGGGAAGCAAGGGCUGGAAUGUAAAUAAAUAAAAUAAUUUUUAAAAAGAACUUGUAUUAUUAAAGUAAAAAAUAAAAGUGAUACUUUUUUC